ACAUAUGGACCCUGAGAGACUUGUCCAGCUGCCACCUGCAACCAUGUCUCAGACAUGAACUCUACUGAUUUUCUGACCCAGGAUGGUCCAUCCAGGAAAUGGUCUCGACUCAACUGAAGUUCACAUUAUGUCGGAAAUAUUCAGCUUGGUUCCACGUAGCCUGGUGAGCGAGCCCACUUCAAGGAACUGCUAAGGGAUGAGGGCUGCAAACGCAAUGGCCAAGUGAGCAAUAGAUGAGCAAAUAGGCAGUUAUGCUCUUGAGAAUGGAGACAAACUCAGCAAUAAAUGGGAUGUCCUCAUCAAAGCGCUGCCCCCAGGGCUCAGGGAUCUAUGCUGAGGGGGAAGAGGAAAAAUUGCAAGAGCCAGAGGGGAUGGAUGACUCCACAGCAAUCGUGUUUUCCCGAUACAUCAGCAGGACUGAUGCACAUACGAACUCACAGAGACUAUGGCAGAUGCACAGGGCCUGCACAGGUUCAAGCCAGAUGGAGUCCCAGCAUCGAGAGGGGAAGUAGACACAAGCUCCCAUUCCUUACAAAGAAGCCAUUUGCAAUUGAUACCUUCUGGCAAAAAAAAAUGUUUUUCUCCAACUGA